UACGUAGGUGGCAAGCGUUUGUCCGGAAUUAUUGGGCGUAAAGCGCGCGCAGGCGGUCCUUUAAGUCUGAUGUGAAAGCCCACGGCUCAACCGUGGAGGGUCAUUGGAAACUGGGGGACUUUGAGUGCAGAAGAGGAAAAGCGGAAUUCCACGUGUAGCGGUGAAAUGCGUAGAGAUGUGGAGGAACACCAGUGGCGAAGGCGGCUUUCUGGUCUGUAACUGACGUGAGGCGCGAAAAGCGUGGGGGAGCAAAACAGG
rnacentral:rRNA from 1 species